AACGCACAUUGCGCCCAUUAGUAUUCUAGUGGGCAUGCCUGUUCGAGCGUCAUUUCAACCCUUAAGCCUUUGUUGCUUAGCGUUGGGAGCCUACGGUCUCGCGUAGCUCCUCAAAGUUAGUGGCAGAGUCGGUCCGCACUCUAGGCGUAGUAAUUUCUAUCUCGUCUUUGCAGUCGGGCCGCCCCUCGCCGUAAAACACCCCAAUCUUAUCAAGGUUGACCUCGGAUCAGGUAGGAAUACCCGCUGAACUUAA
rnacentral:misc_RNA from 1 species